UCAUUUAAGGGCUGGCAGUGGGGGUGAGGGUAUUUUGCUGGAGACCCCUGUCUACUGGAGGCCUUCUGAAGGACCAUCCGGCACAUGCUGGCAGAGCCUCAACCCACCAUCUCAUCAUCCCUUUCCAGGAUUGAGGAAGAAGAGGCAAAUAACAUACUUCCACAGGCAGAAACAUCUCUUUGAGCAGAGCCACAAGUGAAAACCACACUCUUCCCGAGUGAUUCUGCUGCAUCUCAAACUGAAUGCAGAGCAGCAAGGUCUUCCAUUUCUAUGCCAUUAUCCAAGAAGUUGGAUUAAAGAAAAAAAGACACAAAGAACAGGCCAGCCCAGACCUCAGGGGCCAGUCCCUCAGCUGGUGCAAAUUAGUCAAGCUCCCUCAAUACAAUUAGAGUCAUUGGCUCUGACUGAAAAGCUACUGUAGAGAAAUGGAAGACUCAGAGUCAAUAUCAGGGUCCAGAUUUUAAAUCCCCCCUCCUAGCCGGACUUCCAGAUGGUACCAAUCUCCUUGGACAACUCAGAAAACAUAGCCAGAUUUCUCAAGACAUCUAUUUUUUUGAUGCAUCGGAUGGUGGUAAAGCACAGGGAAGAACCUGACAUCUCUCAUUUCAAGCAAGUGGAUGAAGAAAAAAGAGCAAGGCAUUUCGCUAUUGUUGUGGCUUCCAGAUGGUGACCAACGUUAAACAAGUAUCUAAUUAGAAUUAGUGGGCUCUUGUCAUCAGCCCUUUCCUCUCUCCUCUUCUGUGAUAAAGGUAUCAGAAGAAAAUCGCCAAAGCUCAUGAAAAGUCUGACAAUCUUCAUAAAUAUAUCUUUGUAUGCAAAGCUUUAAGAGGAAGCACAACUUAGGACCCACGAAAGAGAAAAAAAGUCCAUCACCAGAACAAGACAUCUGCAUGUUUUUCCAAGUGUUUCACUGGGUCUGAGUAGGUUUAUUUUUCCUGUGGUGCUGUGAGUGUGGUGCUGACUGUCUUGCAGUAAUAGACCAGCAAGGGCAACUGCCAGAGUGUCAUAAUGAGAUGGGGGAAUGGGUCCACAGAGCAAGGGAGCUCAUCCAUCUUCAGCUGAAAACUCCCUUCAAGAUCAACCCCUUCUGCAACUCUCAGCAUUGUAACUUAUCCAAACGCCCUUUCCUUCUAACAGAUAAGACCACACAGGAUCUAACCUGUGUAUCACAUUAUCUUGACAAAAGCCAGUGCCAAAUGCUUUGGAAGAUGAUGCAGACAAACAAACAGGAAAAGCCUCUGUGAUGGGCAGAUAGAGGAUAAUCUAAUCUCUCCCAGGCAACUCUUCACCUUCACCCAUAAACUCAACUCCCUUUAACCUGCUUUACUCCAGUUCAGUGCCUGCUCUUUCAAGAGAUAUGACCUUGUAGGCAUCAUGCAAAACAAUGGAUGUAGCACCUGGACAUCUCCUGUAGUGGAUAGAAAUGCCCUGAAGAUGUCUGAUGCUCAGCUUACAAAGGUGGGAAUUGCUCCUAAGUCACUUAAAAAACGUUUAAUUUCUGCCAGCAAGAAAAAUAAUCCAUUAAGAUGAGCUUCCUUCAGUACCCCUGCAAUUGUGUCUGAGCACCUGCCAUAUAUCCAGCCCUAAGACUCUCUUGAAAAACUCAGUGCAGUGACACUUGUAUCCUCAUGACAGUCUCUAGAGUCAGGAGGAUCAAAGCCGUAGCACAAAGCCCCCAGUCCCACCUUUACAAGGGUUGUGCAGAGUCCUCUUCUCUCUUUGGAUAAACCUCACAGCUAUGUUUUGUAGUGGAGCACAAACCUAUUUACAUACUUGAAAACACGUUGGGAGGUCGUUUCCUGACAAAACAAAGACAGUUGUAGGCAUAUUUGCUGUCUGCAUUUCCGCAUGUUAAGAAAAAUUUUGAUUACAAGUGGUAAUUAAUUGAUCACAUACAGAGAGCGUGCUUUGGAAUUGCUGUGAAUGAAAUUGCAUUGAAAACAUCCUAACAAGGACAUCCUCAAACAUUUGAAAACAGGCAGAGCUGCAAAAUGAAUGCUGAAUGUCAUUCAAAGCUGAUAAUAACCAUAAUUCAAUGCCAGUAAACAAAUAAACAAAACCUUUUGGGCUAACAAUUACUGAAAGAGUUUUAAAUUGCUGAUUACUAUCGUAAUAUCUGUAAUGGAGAACAGCUGAAUUUCUGCAUGCCAUGAAGGGCCUGCUGAAGUCGUAAGGAACAUUUUGUACAUAAUGAUUUACCUUCCUUUGUGGUGCAGAAUGAAAUCAAAACUAUACGUCCGUACCUACUGGGAAUCAUAAGAGCAAGGGUCUAUCAAUGUCAUGAAGUUUAUUUUCCUAAGUAGCCAAGGGAUAAGCCCAUGUUUCUCUAUGUCAUCUUUCUGAAGCACUUACAGGUCAGUUCACAUUAACAUAAUGGAAAAUUCCCUAAGGUAAAUAGAAACAAACAGCAAAAGUAAAAUUAAAUUGGAACAAAGAAACUCCCAGAGGUAACACAAGAACAAACAGAGACAACACUGGGCAACUAGGCAACCGAAGCAACUGCUUUAAAUGCCAACAGCUUCCCUGAGCUCUCCUCUAAGAGCUGGGGGAUGUUUAUGCUCCUCAUACAUGGGAGUGCCUGGCUCGUAGUUCUCCUCUGCCUCAAAUGGGAGCUCCUACCUCUGGGAAAGGGAGUGCACCUGGGGGAGCAGCUGUGGGAUGUAGGAGGCACAGACCAUGUCAGGGCUUGCUUGGGGCAGCAAAAUCCCGGAGCUUGUGGGAAGGGCUCUUGGUUAGCCGCCUCCCUGAGCAGCUUAGGGCACUAAGAGCCUAGAUUCCUUCCCCUGAGAAAAGAGGGAAGACAAAGAGAUGGCCACCUAAGCUCAGU